GACGAACGCUGGCGGCGUGCUUAACACAGGCAAGGCGAACGGUGAAGCGCCUUCCUGGGGGGAGGGAGAGGAGGAGUGGCGAACGGGGGAGGAACACGUGAGGAAGCGGACCCCGCCGGCGGGAGAACGGCAUGAAAGGGUGGCUAAUACGUGAGAUGCUGGGUCUGUCGCAUGAUGGGUCUGUGAAAGAUAUUGUUUCGGUGGGGGAUGGGCUCGCGGCCUAUCAGCUUGUUGGUGGGGUGAUGGCCUACCAAGGCGGUGGAGGGUAGGCGGCCUGCGAGGAUGGCCGGUCACACUGGGACUGAGACACGGCCCAGACUCCGACGGGAGGCAGCAGUGGGGAAUAGUGCACAGUGGGCGCAAGCCUGAUGCAGCGACGCCGCGGGAGGGAUGGAGGCCUUCGGGUUGUGAACCUCUUUCGCCAGUGAAGCAGGCCUGCCUCGUUUGUGGGUGGGUUGACGGUAGCUGGAUAAGAAGCGCCGGCUAACUACGUG
rnacentral:rRNA from 1 species